AAAGUAGCUUAGCUUGGUAGAGCGCUACGCUUGGGACGUAGAGGUCGCAGGUUCAAAUCCUGUCUUU
rnacentral:tRNA from 1 species